CUUUAAUUCUAGUCAGCCGACGGAUUGAUUAAUGAAAUAAUUAAAUUUUAAAAUUCAACCUUAAAACCCUAAACCCACUUUAAUGGUGCUCAAUUGUCAAUUCAACUCAACUCUACGAAGCUUUGUUAGCUGCCCCCGCCUCAAAAUUUUCAUUCUCCCCUCUUCACACUUCAAAGCACCCUCACCCCGUUCUCCUCUCCCUCACGUCACAGCUUGUUUAAUGCAAGGUAUAGUUUGGUUCGUUUUCAUCUUGUAAUGAGAAAUAGCAUUCCCAUUGCGGUUCCGUUGAGAUUGAGACCAAACAUUAGCAACACUCUACCACAUCACAAGUUCCGGCCAACCUGCUUUCACAGCCAUGAAGGACAUACCAUUAGUUGCGUGCCCUACCCCGCUCCUCAAACAAAGCCCAUGGCGCUUCAUUUCGAGGUUCAACUCCCCAUUCUAUUUGAG